GCGACUCUGCUGGGGAGACUUGCUCCAAGCAAGAGAGAGUCUAGCCUAACUUAGUCUGAUUUUACUAUGACUGUUGGAAGAUAUUCUUUCUUUCCAUGUUUAUUUCUGUGUAUUUUAUUCUAAUUACUUGUGUUGUAUUGUAUGUCUUGAUACUUUGAUAUGGGACUUGAUGUAUGCUGUGAGAUAAGCUCCAUACCCGAGCUUCGAGAAAAAACUUAGAACCCAGAGUUGUGUAGUAUUGAACCUGGGGGUGUAC
rnacentral:lncRNA from 1 species